rnacentral:rRNA from 1 species
GAUGAACGCUGGCGGCGUGCCUAAUACAUGCAAGUCGAGCGGACGGACGCGAAGCUUGCUUCUCUGAUGUUAGCGGCGGACGGGUGAGUAACACGUGGAUAACCUACCUAUAAGACUGGGAUAACUUCGGGAAACCGGAGCUCAUACCGGAUAAUAUUUUGAACGGCAUGGUUCAAAAGUGAAAGACGGUCUUGCUGUCACUUAUAGAUGGAUCCGUGCUGCAUUAGCUAGUUGGUAAGGUAACGGCUUACCAAGGCAACGAUGCAUAGCCGACCCGAGAGGGUGUACGGCCACACUGGAACUGAGACACGGUCCAGACUCCUACGGGAGGCAGCAGUAGGGAAUCGUCCGCAAUGGGCGGAAGCCUGACGGAGCAACGCCGCGUGAGUGAUGAAGGGCUUCGGAUCGUAAAACUCUGUUAUUAGGGAAGAACAUAUGUGUAAGUAACUGUGCACAUCGUGACGGUACCUAAUCAGAAAGCCACGGCUAACUACGUG